CCCAGGCCACCCGCGGGGAGACGCCGUGUUUCGCACCCGGCACCGCUCCGCGCCUCCCUCUGCUCAGCAGCACCGCAGCUGUAACCCCGGAGAAAACGAGCACAACUAGGAUCCAUUUAAGGCAGAAUUAAUGCUAAUUAACCGUAAUCAACAACUCGAAGAACAACAUUUACUCAGCAAGCUGCAGAGACCGCAGCAGAGGUUUGCCUGUUAGGCGGGAGCAAGCACGAGACAGGAAAAUAAACCUUACUGCAGGGUCUGUCAGAUGCGUGGCCCUGCUGUAGUGGGUUUCAUCCAUGCCUGCUGCCCUCCUCAUCCCCCUAUACUGCAAGAGGCCACUGUCCCGGCAGCAGCCUGGACCUGUCACCCCACACUCCCCACUCGCCCCACUGCUGGCGGCUCCCCUCGCAGCCCCAGCUCGCAAUGGGCAGCCGAGCGAUGGUGGCUGAGUCACGUCUACUGAGCCCUUUUGGAUGGCGGCCCCCCAGCUGGGGGGCAAAGCAUGGGGAGCCAUGGGCAGUGUUGUUUCCAGUGCCUGGUGCCGUCUACCCCAGCUGCUCGCAAGCCAUCCCUCCUACGCCAAGGGUGCUCUGGAAACUCCUGCCAGCGCUGCUGGGACCCUGUCUUCAGCCUGCAGCAGCUUUCCAGCUCAAGGUGUUGGGGCACAUGACCCUCAUCACAGCGACAGCAACCUCUGGAACCAGUACAGACCCUUGCAGCAGACAUGUGCAUGCAGUUGCACACCAAUUUAGAUCCACAUGGCUUUUCUCGUGCACACAAGGCCUCUGCCAGCUCCUGGGAGGAAGGCUGGGAAGGGAUUAAGUAGCUAAGUAUCUCACUGGCAAAUUAAUAUUGCUUUUUUUCCCUAUUAAUUCCUCAACUUCGCUUUUAUCAUGAACUGUGGAGAAUACACAGUCUGACACAGCUGUUAUAGCACACUCUUCUAGGGUAGAAAAACAUCUUUUCACCACCAGGCCCUAUUCUGGCUAUCCAAAUUAAAUAAAGCAACCUGGCAAAAG